rnacentral:rRNA from 1 species
AGGGAAACCGAGUCUUAACUGGGCGUUAAGUUGCAGGGUAUAGACCCGAAACCCGGUGAUCUAGCCAUGGGCAGGUUGAAGGUUGGGUAACACUAACUGGAGGACCGAACCGACUAAUGUUGAAAAAUUAGCGGAUGACUUGUGGCUGGGGGUGAAAGGCCAAUCAAACCGGGAGAUAGCUGGUUCUCCCCGAAAGCUAUUUAGGUAGCGCCUCGUGAACUCAUCUUCGGGGGUAGAGCACUGUUUCGGCUAGGGGGUCAUCCCGACUUACCAACCCGAUGCAAACUGCGAAUACCGAAGAAUGUUAUCACGGGAGACACACGGCGGGUGCUAACGUCCGUCGUGAAGAGGGAAACAACCCAGACCGCCAGCUAAGGUCCCAAAGUCACAGUUAAGUGGGAAACGAUGUGGGAAGGCUCAGACAGCCAGGAUGUUGGCUUAGAAGCAGCCAUCAUUUAAAGAAAGCGUAAUAGCUCACUGGUCGAGUCGGCCUGCGCGGAAGAUGUAACGGGGCUAAACUGUGCACCGAAGCUGCGGCAGCGACGCUUAUGCGUUGUUGGGUAGGGGAGCGUUCUGUAAGCCUGCGAAGGUGUCCUGUGAGGGAUGCUGGAGGUAUCAGAAGUGCGAAUGCUGACAUAAGUAACGAUAAUGCGG